AUUGAACGCUGGCGGCAGGCCUAACACAUGCAAGUCGAACGGCGCGUCGGACGGGUGAGUACUGCCUAGGAAUCUGCCUGGUAGUGGGGGAUAACGUCCGGAAACGUGCGCUAAUACCGCAUACUAUCAGAUGAGCCUCGGUCGGAUUAGCUAGUUGGUGGGGUAAAGGCCUACCAAGGCGACGAUCCGUAACUGCUCUGAGAGGAUGAUCCGUCACACUGGAACUGAGACACGGUCCAGACUCCUACGGGAGGCAGCAGUGGGGAAUAUUGGGCAAUGGGCGAAAGCCUGAUCCAGCCAUGCCGCGUGUGUGAAGAAGGUCUUCGGAUUGUAAAGCACUUUAAGUUGGGAGGCGGUACCAACAGAAUAAGCACCGGCUAACUUCGUGCCAGCAGCCGCGGUAAUUC
rnacentral:rRNA from 1 species